rnacentral:tRNA from 1 species
CCUGUAGCUCAGUUGGUAAAGAAUCUGUCUGCAACACAGAAGACCCGGGUUCGAUCCCUGGGUCAGGA